GACGACGUGGCCGAGUGGUUAAGGCGAUGGAUUGCUAAUCCAUUGCUCUUUGAGCGCGUGAGUUCGAAUCUCACCGUCGUCG
rfam:Phaeodactylum tricornutum CCAP 1055/1 chromosome 2, whole genome shotgun sequence.